CAUUUCUUCUUCGGCUGCUUCGUCUCUUCAGCCUUUAGUUAAAAUGGAAAAGAGAUUAAGCUUCAAACAAACUAUGCUGGGUGGAUGCUCUCUUACAAAGAAAUAUUGAACUCGAAAAAAAGUUAAUUUUUUGGAUUAUUGCUUCAGUCUCGGAGUGUUAGAACACUGGAUCCUGUCUUGAAAGAAGCGUGCAUUUGCAAUGCCAGAGAGUGUAUCGAAGAUUUGGAGGGGAGGCAGCAAGCGCGGCGGGCGGAGCAGUAAGCACGUGCAGGCUGACACCUACGGGCACCGGGAUACUAGAAUAUUCCGUCGACUCUUUUUUUUUAAGAAGGUUUUUAAUAAGUGUCUGUAGAUGCAAAGUAGUGUGUUUUAAUGCAUGACUUUCUUUGGCUUUGUUUAGUAAAGAUCUACUCCGAUGCUUACUGGAGUCCUAUUUAUUCUAACUAUCUUUGUUUGGUUUU